ensembl:lincRNA Gm13708 predicted gene 13708
ACACGAGAAAGGGCACCGGGGGACCUCCCAGCUCCAGGGGUACAGAGGCCACAUAUAACACGUUUCAAAACUGGACUCUGUCAAGUGCUAGAACUCGGUCCCAGAGCAGUGCCUGGCACUGUCUUUUCAGCUGUGGAAUUACAGAAGUCUUGGGGACUCUGUUGUUCGCUGAGGCAACAGAAGCUGCGAACAAUUCACUAACUGGUUUUUGAAGCAUCCCGAUUGUUUGAUAACCAGCAUUUCUGCGUCGGGGCAAACAAGAACAAAUACCAACUAUGGAGAGUACUGCUUGGGAACGUCCCCUUGGGAGGAUGUUGCUUAUUGGAGCUGACCUCCAUCCCUGCAGCACUCUGGCCUGCGUGGAGAGGACAGGACCCAGUUUUCUUCCCA